AUGCCUGCCGCCUCCUUCUCCUGGUGUCCAUUUCUGGAACUGCUAUUUGUAUAUUGCAUGAUAUUUUAUCAGGGGGAAAAAUAAAACUGAGAUCCAAUUUCCCGAAAAUGCUGUUUGCCAUAAUGCUCAGGAGGACAGGGGGAAGAGAGAGAGUCAAGUCUCCCUACUGUCUACCUCUUGUGCAGGUUAUUUCUUUGAGAUAUUGCACACAGCAGUGAAUGGAAAUCUACAGCAGGGAAGCAAACACAGCCCAUCCCACUUCACACCAUCUUUCCUGGCGAUGUAGUUUAAUGAUCUCUCAGUCUAGAAGGAUCCUGGAGUAAGAUGAGGUUAAAGUAAGAGAAGGAAGAAGUCAACAGAUACUGGGAUGAUCUGAGGAAUACAUAUUUUUGACUGCUAAAGCAAGCUGUCCGGAUUUUUACAAAAUUAAACAUGUGUAUUACUUUCAUCACUGAUUCUCUCAAAACCCUAACAAUCGGAUGACGUGAACAAUUUGGAAGGCUGUUUUUAUGGGAAAUGGUCUUGGUUAAGCUAAGCUGACUGGCCUGCGGCCUCAUGGAUCGCUCAGUACUGCUUUUCUCCAUUUAUGCCCUUGAUCAUGGUGUGCUUUCUCUUGCCCACACUGUCCUGGCUCUGAAUCCUUUGGGUUGAUUUCCCAACUGACAUCCGCCUCUGCCCUGCUCCUCUAAUGUUGAGAACAUCCUGAUUCACCUUCUGGCAUUUUGGACCUCGGCUCUCUUACAGUUUAUGAACUCGGUUGCUCUUCCAGUGUGACAGUCUCCUGGAAUGCUCAAUCGUGGUCUCAGCUGAGCUGGACUUAGGGAAGGUGGACCUCUGGGAUGACCCCACGGAAGAGCCACACCUCCUCCCAGCCCAGGAGGGUUUCGAAUGAACACAGUGAAGCCAGAGGUUAAACAGCGGAGACUUCAGGCUGAUGGCUUUUCUUGUGGUCAGAAACCUCCCCUGAUUCCAUCUCUAAUGACCCUUUCAAGAUACAAAGGGGUCCUGGCAGACAAAGUCCACAUCAUCUUGAACUGGCCCUUUGUACUGAAAAGAUGGAAAAAAAUGGUAAACAGUGGCUGAGUCUUCUCAGAUGUAAAUUAUUAAGUCACAGGGACAGGAAAAGCUGAUUGCAUGAGAUCAAUAGUUUGAUAAUGAUGGGUUUGAGCGACACCUCUACACUUUUCACCCCUUAGCCUACCAGUGCUACUCCAUAAUCUCUAGUACAGAGUCACCAUUCUUCACUAUCUGUAGUAUAGAAUGUCGUCAGUUUCAGGGAUCAGGACUCUACUACAUUAAAGUAGUAUGAUCAAACUAAAGAUAUGUGCCCAAGAGGAUAAUCUGCAAAUUCUGGGAUGAAAAAUGUCAAACAUCUAUCCAAUGGAACUGUGUUUACUGGACAAUUUUUUUUUUCAUUUUGUGUCUGAAUGAAAAAAGUCUUUGUGCAAAUUGUGCUUUUAGAAAAAUAGAUUGGAGGGAAGGAAAGACACUACUGAUAAAUCAUCUACUCAGAAGCCACCUGCCACCUCCUUCCUCUCUGAACCCUGAUUUUGUUCAGCUCACCUGGUGUUCCAGGGCUGGCUGCAUCUCCCUUCAGCCACAGAGGUGCACACUGAUUGAUCCAGGCUAAUUGGUUGUUUUAUUUCCUAGACUAGUGAUUCACAAGGAAUGGACACAUUGGACAACUCUUUCCAAGGAGGUGAAGUCUAGAACUUGUGGGAAAGCUUUCCCUUCCCUUCAGCAAAAUGAAGGGAAAAAAAAGCUCUAUCUUUCUGCCUCUGAAUGUCAUAAUGAGAGGAUAUGAUACUGAGAACAGCCAUCUUGUGACCCAGAAUAAGGAAAAAUCAAGAUUCUUCCAGGAUAGCUGACCUCACUGAGCUGAUAUUAGUGAGAUACUAGUGGAAUUACCCAGCAUCCAGACUUCCUGAAAACAUGCUGAACCUUUAAAGAAGAGUAUAUUCCAUCCAGAUUCCUGCUUGUGGAAGGAGAGAGUCCUUUGAGGUCCGCCAGUUGGUCAUUUUGCCAGAUGUCCUCAAAGAUUCUGCGUGUGUUCAUGCCUUGAUGACAGCUAAACACACUUGACUAGCUUGGAAAGUACAGAGAAAAUGAAGUGGGAGGAGGAAGCAGACAACACCCCAGAGUUCACAAUUGCCCGACCUCAGGAGCUCAAGGCGAUGCAGGCCCGCAGAGGACUUCCUUUAAGAGGGUGGAGGAGUCUGCCAAGCAGGGCAGUCUAUUCUAGUCAAAUCCCAACUUUCCUGGCCAAACUCAAUCAUGCAGGCUUGGAUUUUGUGGAUGGUUUUCCUCUGCUAAAAGAAUGGAGAAACAAAAUUGUUUUCUUAUGAAAUGCGAUGGCUUCCCAAAAUGUCAGUCAAAUACUACUGAUGGGUUUUCCUUAGACUUCCGCUCUCCUGUUAAUAUCCACAUCCCAUGGAACAACACAAAGCACACCUACUGGUACCAACAACAAAUCCCAGCUCCAUAUGUGGACCUCCAGGGACUCUGCCGUUGACAGCUAGCUUUACCCCUUGGGACUCUGUAUGUGCUUAAAACACCACUACCACAUUUUCCCACCCAAGGCUGACCCCACAGCAGCCAACCCUGCCUGUCCCUCAUGCCUUACACACUUGAACCCAAGUGGAAGGAGUUUGUUUUCUUUGUCUUGCUUGUGGAAAUUAAUGGGGAGUAGCAAGAAAAUGCAGUCAAAGACAGAAGUGAUAUCCUGGGAAAGUGACAUCUUAGAAGCUUCCUCCAAGAUGCAUCAUCAACACAAUAAGAACAUCUUGAGCCAGAAGGGACUGAGCCAGAAUACGACCAGCGAGGUCUCAGUGAGUGUUGAGAACAACCAUCCAAAGCACAGCAGAUUCCAGAAUGGAAAAUUAGGAACACAUACAAGGAGUCAGACAUUUGUAAAUAUCUUGUACAAAAUUGUUGGGAGUGGAAGGCUCAUGAUUUUAAUGAUGUACAGGAAGUCAGUAACCGCUGUCCUUUAAUGUCAUGAUUCUAAUUGAAAUCAGAUUUCCUCUUCCCUUAAACCUUCCUAAUUUGGAAUCUUCCUAGCAGUCUCCUCUCCCUCUACACUCAAGGCUCACUGGUGCAUUCUUGGUGGUCGUGUCUCUACCUAGAGUGCUUUCUCUGUGGCUCUCUGCUUGGCUGUUUCUUCCCUGUGCUGUAGGUGCAAUCACCUAUAGCAACCACCUAUUGUAUUGUAGGUGCAACCUCCACCAGGCACCACCACUUCUUGCCUCUAAUGUAGCUGUGUCUUUGUCACAGCCAUGUGUCACAACCGAAACUUAUUCUAUUUGGUUAGAGUUGAAGUCUAAAUGGGUUAUUUAUGUAUUCCUAUGCUCAGACAAAUGGUAGUAUACCAACAAUUACCUUUAGAAUGAAUAAAGAUGAAUAGGGAAUGAAAAGAAUGAUAAUUCAUACUGCUAGCUGCAUGGCCUUGGAAAAGCAAGCAUGUAUUAUCUAUUGGUUGCUUUUUCUUUGCUGGAACAAAAUAUCCGACAUCCACAACUCAAAAGAAGAGAGAUUUACUUUGGCUUACAGUCUUCAGAGGUCUCAGCCAUUGGCUGGCUGGCCCCAGGACAAAUGAGGCAAGGCAGAAGGAUGAGGUGGAAUGAACCUGCCCAAACUAUGGCAGUCAGGAAUCAGAGAGAGAAGGGAGAAGAGCCAAUUUCAUGACCCCAGUGAUCCAACUCCACCCAGACCACACUUCCCAACCUCAAUUUCAACUACUGAAUUCAUCAGUAUGUGCAUCCAUUGAUCAGUACAGCACCCCAUGACCCAAGGACCUUCCAUUAUCGUGUGUACCAGGCUUGUGGUUUGGCAAAUAUCAAAGAAUAUAGUAACCAACCAAAGAAGAAGGAUAGGAAAGUUUUUUAUUGAAAAUAAAAUGAGAAACAACUCUUCGAUUUUGAUUUUGUGUAAUUGUUUAGUGGGCAUCUAUCAUGGGUGGCUUGAUGAAGUUUAAAAAAAUGACCAACUGAAACUCAUGUUCCCAACCCAGUUCCUUCACAUUAUUUUCCAUAAACUGGGAUCUUUGAAAGAAACCAACUAUUGUAUGUUAUAAUUUCCUCAAAAUCCAAAGACUUAAGUAGGGUACAGCUGCACCUCCCUUUAGGAGGGUCUCCAUUCCAUAUUGAUUGAGGUCAAAGUCCUUGUUCAGCAUUCUUAUUUAAAUUUCCAUUAAAUAAUUUAAAUUCCCAUGGCCUAUCCACCUCUAUGUCAGGCCCUUCCCCUAUCUAGCUACCUAACUCAUAAGCUACUAAACUAUGUUCUACACUUCCACAGACAUGAGAUUUUUGUGGGAUUUUAAAUUGAAACCCUAACAAGAAAUAAACAAAAUUUCAGAAAUAAAACCAGAAAGUACAAAGCAUUACUCAAACAUCAAGAAGUUUUUAAUAUUUAAGUUCAGACACUGAAGAAAAUCCUAGAAAACAAACCUAUCAUGAUACUUCCCUUAACUGGAUUCUUUGCAUCAAACCAUUUCUUUAGAAAUCCAUGAAUUUGGGCUGGGGAUUUUGCUCAGCGGCAUAAGCACCUGCCUUCCAAGCAGGCAGCUGUGCGUUCGAUCCCUAGUACCGAUAAAAAUGAAAAAGACAAAAAAUAAAAUAAAAUAAAUCCAUGAAUUUAUCAUUUUCUUCAUUAUAAAUUGCUACCUGGACCUGAACUUUCUUUUUAAUGUAGACUGGAUAUGCCUGUGACAUAAGGAAUACUUUCACCAGCAAAUGUCAGAGGUCUUUGUGAGCAAUGGUGUCUCUGUGACUAGAGCUCAGUCAUAACAGUCACAGUCUGGGGACAGGUCACCAUGUAUGUGUCAGAGCUCUCUGCUCCAAGACACUGGCUUCACUCAUCCUUUACUGGAGCUGGUGUUCAGAAAGAGGCAAUGUGAACAAGGAGUCCAUACAAUAGAGUAACUUUUCCUCCCGCCAGCCCUCAAACUCACAAGACUUUAGAAAUUCAAUUCUUUUGACCAUUCUCUUUUAAACAACAGUUCUCAGAAAAGAAAAAAAAAAAGCUUUUCAAAAGUCAGUGUAAACUACUAUUUAUUUUAAAAUCGAAAGACUAAAAUAUUUUGGCUCCUGAAUCAGAUUUCUGAAGGUAUUUCACUGCCUCUAAUUAAUGUCAGAUUAAAGACAUUUUUAGUCAGUCCAUACAGACUCAUAAAAAAAGAUGGUGAUAUUUACAAGAGUUAAAAAAACAAAUCCCAAGCACCAUCUGCCAUGGGUGAUCCUGACAGCUCUAAUACUAGGCCAUUGUUUUUCUGGAAUUGAAAUACAGAUGACAUUAUUGUACGUAAUCACAGAUUCCUAUCUCUCAAAAGAGGAAGAUAUGCCAGCGACAAAAGGAAUAUGCAGCAAUAUAGAGGGACAUCCGAUAUCCACAUAGAAUUGGUACAGGAGAACUAUAAUUCCCAACCAGUGAGAUAUCAAAUGUGCUGAGUUCGUGGUCCCACACCAUCUAGGAAUGAAGUCUUGAAGCAAAGGAAGAAGUGAGACGAUGUGGUGGACUAACUAAUGGUCAGCUUGUAACACCCAGUUGAACUGAAUCAUCAUAGUGCUGGGUGUGGAAGGCACACCCAAGAGUUGGUGCCAACAUCGUAAAGAGGGAACUGGAGGAGAUGAGAGUGUGCUAUUGAGUCUCCUGCAAAAGCUUGUCAGGCUGGUUUUCCUGAUAUGACUUCAGCUCUUCUCUUCAUUGAAGGAGCUUGGGUCCUCGCUGCUGCUGCAAAGGGCUGCGGUUCUUUUGUGGGGAGCUCUGGUUCUUACCUUAAGCGUUGCUUCCUGACUCCAUGAAGAUUGCUCAGGCUGCUGGCAGACCCUUCACUCUACUGGCGCAGAACUUAUAGCCUCUGCUACUGACUUUUGAGCCUUCCCAAUGCAGGUCCUUGAUACAGAUUUGCAUGAGAUAUUGUUGUGGGCUCUAGGCCUUCAGCUGGACUCACGUAGGACAUUGCAAUGAGAUCCUGACCUCAGCUGGAUUCUUUGGUCUCUAGUGUGUGGACAGAUCUCUUGCACUCCUUGGCAGUUGACUUUUUGGAUGAGUAUUAUAAAAUAGUCCUAUAAAUUAUGCAUCCUGUAUCCAAUCAUUCCCCUGUAAACUCUGACUGCAACAGGCGAGUUUUACUAGAAAUAAGACUAGCUGGUGGAUUCCAGGAGCAGUCCUGAAUGGGGUGCCCACUGAGGCCCUUUGGCAGGGUAAUCUGUAUGGCAAAGUUACAACAUGAGUACUGUGUGGGUCAAACUCCCACCACGCUACAGCAGUGAUCACAAACGGACAGCACAUGUGCCAUCACAGGCAUGCAGAGCCAUUUCUGCAGACUCAUGAGCCAAGUCAGCCCAGCAGCUGAGUGCUGGAUUUCAGUUGUGUUUCUUCUAAAAUAAAAUCUUAGUAUUCAGGUUUAAUUGGAGUGUUGGCACUUCAGAAUAAAUAAGUGGGCUUUGGGUUGCAGCUUGGGUACUUGGUCUCUGAAAGGUUUAGCAUCACUGCCUUAUGGAAUUACAAGUAUAUCCACUUAGCUUAUAUUGAUCCAUUAGGGAAACAAGCCACACAGUAAGGAUGCAUGGAAAGAACAAAGGCAUUUGGAAGGAGGGAUGGGUCCAAAGCUGGGAUCGUCCACUUGGUGAUCCUAGCUGUACUUACUGGACCACGGAGCACUCAUUAGAGUAAAAUUUCAAGUUACUGCUUAUCACAUAGGGAGGCGGGGAAGCCUGGCCGUUGUAUCUCCCACAACUUCUUCAGAUGCACCUCCAGCCACAGUGCUGAUGUUUUUUUAAUUUUUCUGUGCUGACUUGCUCAAAGGCCCAGUCCCUCUCAGCUUAUAUGUGAAAUUCUAUCUAAUUUAUUUGUCUAUAAUAGAAUGAGGAACAUGUGAUAUUUCUAUGGAGGGUCAGCAUUACAUUUUGAACAGAAAAUGUGAUGGUGUAGACAUCUUUACUCCAGAUCUCUAUAGUUGUCUGGUAAAUCAUGUGGGUUAAGUUUUUCUUAAUGUAUUACCUAAGGCCUAAUAUUUAAAUAAUUUAUCACUUUCAUUCAGUAGCACUCAGUUAUCUCAUGAUUAUAAUAAAAUAAACAUGAAGCUAGUUAUACGUUUCGGUUGGGGGGAGGGAGUCCGUCUCCUGAAAUUUUCUCAUAUAUAGAAACUUCUCUUUAAAAUAUAUAAAUGUUUUUUUUUAAUUUUCUCAGCUCCAUCAAAUGUUGCUAGUCAAAGCUCACAUGUAGGAAUUUAUACUUCUACUGAUAGGCCAGGAGCAGUCUGAUGGAUUCAAUCUAAUUUAUUUAGAUUUCAAGAGUGGUGAAGAAAUGAUUGUUUUUGAGGUCACAUCAGGACCUUUUUUUCUACCAAGCAACCUUAAGACAUUUUCCCACCACAUGUUGGUUUCCAUUAUUAGGAGCUUGGCCAACAUGUAUUUAGUUUGGCAGCCAGCCACAAAAUGUUUGCUGAGUCUCGAUGGUACCAAGUUUGACAGAAAGCCCACUGGAAAGAAAGGUAUUUUCAAGUUAGUAUUUUCACAUCAAAAAUAGAAGGCUAAACGUCUCUCUUGUGAAAAGAAGAGCUUUAUUAUCCUGCUGCACAUUCUUCUGUGAUGGGAAAUACAGGCAUCUUGUUUUUACUUACAUCUCCCUAACACUGCUAGGUAAGAGAGAGUAUUUUUGGUGACCGCAGAAGAAUCCCCAGAUGCGAGGACAGGAUUGACUGCACAGUUAAAGGGCUCGUCUGAGAGAGCUUCCAGUGUUUCUUCUUGCCAAGUCGUCUCUCUAGAGCAGGGUGUUUGGUUUUACAAAUGCCUCCUUGCUGGACCCUGGUACCUUAGUUUAACCCUUUCAGUCACUCUACAGUUGAAUACAAUUGAAAGCCUCCUAUUUUGUUCUAAGGCUAUUUUCUGGGCAAAAAAAAAUUUUUUUUGAUGGUGACUGUUUUUCAGAAAUGGCCAACCAGCCCCUCAAGUCCCAUGUUAGCUAAGUCUUUGUUAGCAGGCAGUUUGAUGUCAGUUCUUUGGAGAAUACUAGUAAAGGGCAAAGAGGAUCCCUGACAGUGGUCAAGGAACUUGAUCCUGAGGUCCUGAGAUAUGUAACAGUCAUAGCGAUUCCAACAUCUAAGGUGCAUCACAUCAUUUACAAAUUUAAAUUGCUUAACUGGCAAAAGUUGAUGUGACCAUUAAUCUUGAUAUGUCCAUUUCACUGGAUUCAGAAAAGCCUGGCAGAUCAGUAAGAAUGCUUGUGGGUCUGGGUGAGCUGUGAUUGUGACUUUGGACACAAUCUAUCAUCUUUCAUCUGCUCUUCUCCAGAAUGUUCCCCCUACUCUGCUUUCUAGUCACUAUGAACUAAGCAUCUUUCUCCGCCAUAACUUCAACCAUGAACUGAACCUCCUGAAACUGGAAACUAAAUAAGUGUUUGCUCUUUUAAGUUGUGUCAGGUAUUGUGUCCCAGCAACUGGAUCAAUGCAUUUGAUUAUUAAAUUAUUGUAACUCUAA